UCUUUUAGGAAUUUUGCACAAUUUCUGAAACACAGAGAAGUCUGCAUUUUGCUUUCCAGCAAAAAUGGAAUCAGAAGAGUGAGGGAGAAAUCAACACUAUUCAUACCUGGAGCAAAGUUUUCUGAAAAGCUUUCUGGACUAUUCCUGAGUUUCUCCUUUGAUAAGUGGUGAUACUGAAGCCAGAGAACCACUUCCUUCCGAAGACGUACAUUUAGGCAAGAACAAGAAACAGGUUGGUCAGCUCUCCUGCACUCUUGCCAUCACUGAGAAGAAGGUGCCUUGACUAGCCCCCUGUUCAAGGAGGAUAAACACACAGGGAACAGUAUUUCCUAGCUCACUCGCUGACCUGCAACUUGAAGCAGAGCCG